UACGUAGGGGGCAAGCGUUGUCCGGAUUCAUUGGGCGUAAAGAGCUCGUAGGCGGUUUGUCGCGUCUGCCGUGAAAGUCCGGGGCUCAACUCCGGAUCUGCGGUGGGUACGGGCAGACUAGAGUGAUGUAGGGGGAGACUGGAAUUCCUGGUGUAGCGGUGAAAUGCGCAGAUAUCAGGAGGACACCGGUGGCGAAGGCGGAUCUCUGGGCCAUUACUGACGCUGAGGAGCGAAAGCGUGGGGAGCGAACAGG
rnacentral:rRNA from 1 species